GUGGGGAAUCUUGCGCAAUGGCCGAAAGGCUGACGCAGCGACGCCGCGUGUGGGAGGAAGCUCUUCGGGGUGUAAACCACUGUUGCCCGGGACGAACACACCUAUUCGUAGGUGCUGACGGUACCGGGUGAGGAAGCACCGGCUAACUCUGUGCCAGCAGCCGCGGUAAUACAGAGGGUGCGAGCGUUGUCCGGAAUCACUGGGCGUAAAGGGCGCGUAGGUGGUGGCUUAAGCGUGCGGUGAAAGCUCGGAGCUCAACUCCGAGUCGGCCGUGCGAACUGGGCUCACUGGAGCAUAGUAGAGGCAGGUGGAAUUCCGGGUGUAGCGGUGGAAUGCGUAGAGAUCCGGAAGAACACCGGUGGCGAAGGCGGCCUGCUGGGCUAUGGCUGACACUGAGGCGCGACAGCGUGGGGAGCAAACAGGAUUAGAAACCCUAGUAGUCC
rnacentral:rRNA from 1 species